UACAGAGGGGGCAAGCGUUAUUCGGAAUUAUUGGGCGUAAAGGGCGCGUAGGCGGCUUGGCAAGCGGAUGGUGAAAUCCCUCGGCUUAACCGAGGAACUGCCGUCCAAACUGCUUCGCUUGAGACCGGGAGAGGUGAGUGGAAUUCCCAGUGUAGCGGUGAAAUGCGUAGAUAUGUGGAGGAACACCGAUGGCGAAGGCAGCCCCCCUGGGUCAAGACUGACGCUCAUGCACGAAAGCGUGGGGAGCAAACAGG
rnacentral:rRNA from 1 species